AUGUACCACGCGUCCACUGCGGUUCUGAGCGCGCCGUCCGCGCCCACCUGACCGCCGCCCGCCCCGGUUUGUCAGCC
rnacentral:sRNA from 1 species